UCUCCGUUGGUGAACCAGCGGAGGGAUCAUUACAGAGUUGCAAAACUCCCAACCCUUGUGAACAUACCCGUUACAGUUGCUUCGGCGGGCAGCCCCAGGGCGGGGCUGCAGCCUCUUCUCACGAGGCGCCCGCCGGAGGUAUAUAACUCUUUGUAUUUGUUGGUCUCUCUGAGUAAAUUUAUAAUAAGUCAAAACUUUUAACAACGGAUCUCUUGGUUCUG
rnacentral:misc_RNA from 1 species